rnacentral:rRNA from 1 species
AGUGAACGCUGGCGGUAGGCCUAACACAUGCGAGUCGAACGGCAGCACAGUAAGAGCUUGCUCUUACGGGUGGCGAGUGGCGGACGGGUGAGGAAUACAUCGGAAUCUACUUUUUCGUGGGGGAUAACGUAGGGAAACUUACGCUAAUACCGCAUACGACCUACGGGUGAAAGCAGGGGAUCUUCGGACCUUGCGCGAUUGAAUGAGCCGAUGUCGGAUUAGCUAGUUGGCGGGGUAAAGGCCCACCAAGGCGACGAUCCGUAGCUGGUCUGAGAGGAUGAUCAGCCACACUGGAACUGAGACACGGUCCAGACUCCUACGGGAGGCAGCAGUGGGGAAUAUUGGACAAUGGGCGCAAGCCUGAUCCAGCCAUACCGCGUGGGUGAAGAAGGCCUUCGGGUUGUAAAGCCCUUUUGUUGGGAAAGAAAAGCAGCAGGUUAAUACCCCGCUGUUCUGACGGUACCCAAAGAAUAAGCACCGGCUAACUGCGU